ACCAGAGUAGCAAUUGGAGGGCAAGUCUGGUGCCAGCAGCCGCGGUAAUUCCAGCUCCAAUAGCGUAUAUUAAACUUGUUGCAGUUAAAAAGCUCGUAGUUGUAUUUUUGCGUURACGGUUUGACCAUUUGGUUGGUUAUUUCGUUUUCGCUUUUGGGAAUUUCCCUUUUUACUUUGAGAAAAUUAGAGUGUUUCAAGCAGACUUUUGUCUUGAAUACUUCAGCAUGGAAUAAUAGAGUAGGACUUUGGUUCUAUUUUGUUGGUUAUUGAACCUUAGUAAUGGUUAAUAGGAACGGUUGGGGGCAUAA
rnacentral:rRNA from 1 species